GCGUACGGGUGCGGAACACGUGUGCAACCUGCCUUUAUCUGGGGGAUAGCCUUUCGAAAGGAAGAUUAAUACCCCAUAAUAUGUUGAAUGGCAUCAUUCGACAUUGAAAACUCCGGUGGAUAGAGAUGGGCACGCGCAAGAUUAGAUAGUUGGUGAGGUAACGGCUCACCGAGUCUACGAUCUUUAGGGGGCCUGAGAGGGUGAUCCCCCACACUGGUACUGAGACACGGACCAGACUCCUACGGGAGGCAGCAGUGAGGAAUAUUGGACAAUGGGUGAGAGCCUGAUCCAGCCAUCCCGCGUGAAGGACGACUGCCCUAUGGGUUGUAAACUUCUUUUGUAUAGGGAUAAACCUACCCUCGUGAGGGUAGCUGAAGGUACUAUACGAAUAAGCACCGGCUAACUCCGUGCCAGCAGCCGCGGUAAUACGGAGGGUGCAAGCGUUAUCCGGAUUUAUUGGGUUUAAAGGGUCCGUAGCGGAUCUGUAAGUCAGUGGUGAAAUCUCACAGCUUAACUGUGAAACUGCCAUUGAUACUGCAGGUCUUGAGUGUUGUUGAAGUAGCUGGAAUAAGUAGUGUAGCGGUGAAAUGCAUAGAUUUA
rnacentral:rRNA from 1 species